rnacentral:rRNA from 1 species
CUACGGGUGGCAGCAGUGGGGAAUAUUGGACAAUGGGCGAAAGCCUGAUCCAGCCAUGCCGCGUGUGUGAAGAAGGCCUUCGGGUUGUAAAGCACUUUCAGUGGGGAAGAAAGCCUUGGGGCUAAUACCCUCGAGGAAGGACAUCACCCACAGAAGAAGCACCGGCUAACUCCGUGCCAGCAGCCGCGGUAAUACGGAGGGUGCGAGCGUUAAUCGGAAUUACUGGGCGUAAAGCGCGCGUAGGCGGUCUGAUAAGCCGGUUGUGAAAGCCCCGGGCUCAACCUGGGAACGGCAUCCGGAACUGUCAGGCUAGAGUGCAGGAGAGGAAGGUAGAAUUCCCGGUGUAGCGGUGAAAUGCGUAGAGAUCGGGAGGAAUACCAGUGGCGAAGGCGGCCUUCUGGACUGACACUGACGCUGAGGUGCGAAAGCGUGGGUAGCAAACAGGAUUAGAUACCCUGGUAGUC